GUGCUUGCUUCAGCAGCACAUAUACUAAAAUCAGAACGAUACAAAAAAGAUUGGCUAUGGCCCCUGCACAAAGAUUGUUCAUAUGCAAAAAGUGUUCUAUAUUAAA
ensembl:snRNA U6 U6 spliceosomal RNA